CAAUCGGAACGUGCCCAAUCGUGGGGGAGUAACGCAGCGAAAGCUGUGCUAAUACCGCAUACGAUCUACGGAUGAAAGCAGGGGAUCGCAAGACCUUGCGCGAAUGGAGCGGCCGAUGGCAGAUUAGGUAGUUGGUGAGGUAAAGGCUCACCAAGCCUUCGAUCUGUAGCUGGUCUGAGAGGACGACCAGCCACACUGGGACUGAGACACGGCCCAGACUCCUACGGGAGGCAGCAGCU
rnacentral:rRNA from 1 species